rnacentral:rRNA from 1 species
AUGAUUGACACAUAUGGUCUGCAUAAGAACAAUUAUCUCACCCAGAUAUAUGAGACAAGAGAGAAAUGGGCGAAGCCAUAUUUCCAUGGCAAGUUUUGUGCUAAGAUGACCAGUACGCAACGCAGUGAAAGUGCCAACCACAUGUUGAAGACUUAUGUUCCAGCUAGUUGUCCAAUGCAUCUAUUUGUUCGUCAGUACAUGCGGCUUCUUUUUGAUAGAGAGGCAAGUGAGAACUAUGAAGAGAGGAGGACGAAAAUAGUAAGUUUUUGA